CAGUCGCCACGGGAAUACAGAGGGUGCAAGCGUUAAUCGGAAUUACUGGGCGUAAAGCGCGCGUAGGUGGUUUGUUAAGUUGGAUGUGAAAGCCCCGGGCUCAACCUGGGAACUGCAUCCAAAACUGGCAAGCUAGAGUACGGUAGAGGGUGGUGGAAUUUCCUGUGUAGCGGUGAAAUGCGUAGAUAUAGGAAGGAACACCAGUGGCGAAGGCGACCACCUGGACUGAUACUGACACUGAGGUGCGAAAGCGUGGGGAGCAAACAGGAUUAGAGACCCGCGUAGUCCCUGUCUCUUAUAC
rnacentral:rRNA from 1 species